UACAGGGGGUGCAAACGUUGCUCGGAAUCAUUGGGCGUAAAGCGCACGUAGGCGGUUCGUUAUGUCGGUUGUGAAAACUGGAGGCUCAACCUUCAGAGGUCGACCGAAACCAUCUGGCUAGAGUCCGGGAGAGGAGAGUGGAAUUCCUGGUGUAGCGGUGAAAUGCGCAGAUAUCAGGAAGAACACCCGUGGCGAAAGCGGCUCUCUGGAACGGUACUGACGCUGAGACGCGAAAGCGUGGGGAGCGAACAGG
rnacentral:rRNA from 1 species